rfam:Schistosoma haematobium scaffold592_11, whole genome shotgun sequence.
AUCCAUCUGACAAGUCCCAAAUAGAACGAAGUGCGCGUCCUGGAU